CUUGGCAUGAUGUGAUCAGAGAUGACAUCACGUUGUUCUUGGGACAGGCAACCAGCACUUGCAUCACCAAAUCCUCGCUCACCCUGGCAUCUCCUUUUCGCUGAGUUACGAUCUUCCUCUCUGUUGUCAUCUCCCUGCUCUGCCAUGCUCCUAAAGGACCACUUCAGGGCUGAUUUCUGACUGGCUGCAACCUCUCUUAGGAGAAAAGGACCCGGACGUGGCUGGGCUUCCACGCAAGAAAGCAAAUAACCAUCAGAAGUCCUUCUACUUCUGUGUCUGUGAAGAAGGAGAUGCUGUGUUCCUAAGGCGGUUCAUCCAAGUCCCAGAGGCAGCACAGCAAGGCUG
rnacentral:lncRNA from 1 species